rnacentral:rRNA from 1 species
AUGUCGCUCAAGUGGAAGAGACAAGGUAGAAAUAGAGUGGGGUUUGCCAAAGAUGAGGGGGCGAUCCCUCCUAGCUUUAUUAGGCGAGGCAGAUAUAAAUUUCGCCUGCAACCUGGAAUAACCAUUUUGUUUCUAUUUCUGGGCCCAACUCUACUUGCGGCCCGGCCCACUAACCAGCUCAGGCUCAUCCACUUCCCUCCCACCCCACCAGCCACUGCUCGCCGGCUCUCGGAAUCCCCGCCGGCCAGCCUCCGGGCUGCUCCCAUGGCAGCGGCGGCGUCCACGGAGACGCUCUCCAGCUGCGCCCGUCCGCUCCCCAACACCCUAAGCUCCAGCCCCCGCGCCACGCGCCUGGCUCCAUUCGCGUCGCGUCGCGCUCCCGCCCCCGCCCGCUUCGCGCCACCGCCGCCGCCGUUCGCGAGGUCUGCUCCGGCCGCGUCCCCGACCACGUCCUCCAGAGGCAGCAGCCCGUCCGAAACCCCUCCCCCUUCCUGCAUUCGGUAUCAAUUUCUCACUGAAAGUUCAGUAUUUUGCAGGGCUGAGGACGUCGGGUACGUCUCACCCACCGAGGUGCAGGAGCAGUCCCUGCCGGUGCUCCUCUCCGGCCUGGACUGCAUCCUCCACGCCCAGACAGGUUCAGGGAAGACGCUGGCCUACCUCCUGGCGGUGUUCUCGGUGAUAUACGUCGGCCAGUCCUCGGCGCAGGCGCUGGUCAUCGUGCCGACGCAUCCAGGUGAGGUCACCAAAGUCGCCAGGCUUCUCGUGGCCAAGACUUGCAACGUCAUGGCUUUGCUUGACGGCGGGAUGCUGACGAGGCAGAAGAGCUGGUUAAAGGCAAAGCCACCUGCAAUAAUUGUAGCAACUGUUGCAAGCUUGUGCCAGAUGGUUGAGAAGCGUGCUUUCAGUCUUGGGUCAAUCAAAAUAUUGGUUAUCGAUGAGGUUGAUUUCAUUUUUGGAUCAUCGAAGCAAAGCGAUGUGGUUCAUGUUCAUGUCAACCCUGUCCAGCCCAUGCCUUCACACCUACAUCACACAUAUGUGAUCUGCAGCAAGAAGGAACGGUUGCAUGUUUUGCUAUCCUUGCUUGAGAGGGAUGCACCAAAGUCGGUGAUUAUAUUUGUCGCUCAGCAGUCUGAGAAAUCAAAAAGGGCUGGAAAUCCUCCGUCGUCUACACGUGUUGUCGAGUUCCUGAGAACAGAGUAUAAAGGCACCCUGGAGGUGCUUGUACUAGAAGAAGACAUGAAUUUCAACGCUCGGGCUACCUCGUUUACUGAAGUCAAGGGAAAAGGUUUCCUGCUAGUUUCUACAGAUAUAGCGAGCAGAGGGUUUGACCUUCCGCAGACCAGCCACAUAUACAACUUCGACCUUCCUAAGACGGCGACCGACUACCUCCACCGUGCCGGAAGGACCGGGAGAGAACCGUUCUCCAAGUCGGAGUGCAGCGUGACAACUCUCAUAACGGAGGAGGAGCGCUUCGUGCUACAGAGGUUCCAGAACGAGCUCAAGUUCCACUCCCAACAGCUGCCCUUGGAGUCCAUGUUUACUUUCAACUUGUGA